rnacentral:rRNA from 1 species
AGCGUACACGGUGGAUGCCCUGGCAGUCAGAGGCGAUGAAGGACGUGCUAAUCUGCGAUAAGCGUCGGUAAGGUGAUAUGAACCGUUAUAACCGGCGAUUUCCGAAUGGGGAAACCCAGUGUGAUUCGUCACACUAUCAUUAACUGAAUCCAUAGGUUAAUGAGGCGAACCGGGGGAACUGAAACAUCUAAGUACCCCGAGGAAAAGAAAUCAACCGAGAUUCCCCCAGUAGCGGCGAGCGAACGGGGAGCAGCCCAGAGCCUGAAUCAGUGUGUGUGUUAGUGGAAGCGUCUGGAAAGGCGCGCGAUACAGGGUGACAGCCCCGUACACAAAAAUGCACAUACUGUGAGCUCGAUGAGUAGGGCGGGACACGUGGUAUCCUGUCUGAAUAUGGGGGGACCAUCCUCCAAGGCUAAAUACUCCUGACUGACCGAUAGUGAACCAGUACCGUGAGGGAAAGGCGAAAAGAACCCCGGCGAGGGGAGUGAAAAAGAACCUGAAACCGUGUACGUACAAGCAGUGGGAGCACGCUUAGGCGUGUGACUGCGUACCUUUUGUAUAAUGGGUCAGCGACUUAUAUUCUGUAGCAAGGUUAACCGAAUAGGGGAGCCGAAGGGAAACCGAGUCUUAACUGGGCGUUAAGUUGCAGGGUAUAGACCCGAAACCCGGUGAUCUAGCCAUGGGCAGGUUGAAGGUUGGGUAACACUAACUGGAGGACCGAACCGACUAAUGUUGAAAAAUUAGCGGAUGACUUGUGGCUGGGGGUGAAAGGCCAAUCAAACCGGGAGAUAGCUGGUUCUCCCCGAAAGCUAUUUAGGUAGCGCCUCGUGAAUUCAUCUCCGGGGGUAGAGCACUGUUUCGGCAAGGGGGUCAUCCCGACUUACCAACCCGAUGCAAACUGCGAAUACCGGAGAAUGUUAUCACGGGAGACACACGGCGGGUGCUAACGUCCGUCGUGAAGAGGGAAACAACCCAGACCGCCAGCUAAGGUCCCAAAGUCAUGGUUAAGUGGGAAACGAUGUGGGAAGGCCCAGACAGCCAGGAUGUUGGCUUAGAAGCAGCCAUCAUUUAAAGAAAGCGUAAUAGCUCACUGGUCGAGUCGGCCUGCGCGGAAGAUGUAACGGGGCUAAACCAUGCACCGAAGCUGCGGCAGCGACGCUUAUGCGUUGUUGGGUAGGGGAGCGUUCUGUAAGCCUGUGAAGGUGUACUGUGAGGUAUGCUGGAGGUAUCAGAAGUGCGAAUGCUGACAUAAGUAACGAUAAAGCGGGUGAAAAGCCCGCUCGCCGGAAGACCAAGGGUUCCUGUCCAACGUUAAUCGGGGCAGGGUGAGUCGACCCCUAAGGCGAGGCCGAAAGGCGUAGUCGAUGGGAAACAGGUUAAUAUUCCUGUACUUGGUGUUACUGCGAAGGGGGGACGGAGAAGGCUAUGUUGGCCGGGCGACGGUUGUCCCGGUUUAAGCGUGUAGGCUGGUUUUCCAGGCAAAUCCGGAAAAUCAAGGCUGAGGCGUGAUGACGAGGCACUACGGUGCUGAAGCAACAAAUGCCCUGCUUCCAGGAAAAGCCUCUAAGCAUCAGGUAACAUCAAAUCGUACCCCAAACCGACACAGGUGGUCAGGUAGAGAAUACCAAGGCGCUUGAGAGAACUCGGGUGAAGGAACUAGGCAAAAUGGUGCCGUAACUUCGGGAGAAGGCACGCUGAUAUGUAGGUGAAGUCCCUCGCGGAUGGAGCUGAAAUCAGUCGAAGAUACCAGCUGGCUGCAACUGUUUAUUAAAAACACAGCACUGUGCAAACACGAAAGUGGACGUAUACGGUGUGACGCCUGCCCGGUGCCGGAAGGUUAAUUGAUGGGGUCAGCGCAAGCGAAGCUCUUGAUCGAAGCCCCGGUAAACGGCGGCCGUAACUAUAACGGUCCUAAGGUAGCGAAAUUCCUUGUCGGGUAAGUUCCGACCUGCACGAAUGGCGUAAUGAUGGCCAGGCUGUCUCCACCCGAGACUCAGUGAAAUUGAACUCGCUGUGAAGAUGCAGUGUACCCGCGGCAAGACGGAAAGACCCCGUGAACCUUUACUAUAGCUUGACACUGAACAUUGAGCCUUGAUGUGUAGGAUAGGUGGGAGGCUUUGAAGUGUGGACGCCAGUCUGCAUGGAGCCGACCUUGAAAUACCACCCUUUAAUGUUUGAUGUUCUAACGUUGACCCGUGAUCCGGGUUGCGGACAGUGUCUGGUGGGUAGUUUGACUGGGGCGGUCUCCUCCUAAAGAGUAACGGAGGAGCACGAAGGUUGGCUAAUCCUGGUCGGACAUCAGGAGGUUAGUGCAAUGGCAUAAGCCAGCUUGACUGCGAGCGUGACGGCGCGAGCAGGUGCGAAAGCAGGUCAUAGUGAUCCGGUGGUUCUGAAUGGAAGGGCCAUCGCUCAACGGAUAAAAGGUACUCCGGGGAUAACAGGCUGAUACCGCCCAAGAGUUCAUAUCGACGGCGGUGUUUGGCACCUCGAUGUCGGCUCAUCACAUCCUGGGGCUGAAGUAGGUCCCAAGGGUAUGGCUGUUCGCCAUUUAAAGUGGUACGCGAGCUGGGUUUAGAACGUCGUGAGACAGUUCGGUCCCUAUCUGCCGUGGGCGCUGGAGAACUGAGGGGGGCUGCUCCUAGUACGAGAGGACCGGAGUGGACGCAUCACUGGUGUUCGGGUUGUCAUGCCAAUGGCACUGCCCGGUAGCUAAAUGCGGAAGAGAUAAGUGCUGAAAGCAUCUAAGCACGAAACUUGCCCCGAGAUGAGUUCUCCCUGACUCCUUGA